rnacentral:tRNA from 1 species
UCCCUGGUGGUCUAGUGGUUAGGACUUGGCACUUUUACUGCCUGCACCUGGGUUCAAUCCCUGGUUGGGGAA